AUACGUAGGGGGCGAGCGUUGUCCGGAAUGAUUGGGCGUAAAGGGCGCGUAGGCGGCGCGGUAAGUCUGGAGUGAAAGUCCUGCUUUCAAGGUGGGAAUUGCUUUGGAUACUGCCGCGCUUGAGUGCAGGAGAGGUUAUCGGAAUUCCCGGUGUAGCGGUGAAAUGCGUAGAGAUCGGGAGGAACACCAGUGGCGAAGGCGGGUAACUGGACUGCAACUGACGCUGAGGCGCGAAAGUGUGGGGAGCAAACAGGAUUAGAUACCCUGGUAGUCCACGCCGUAAACGAUGAUUACUAGGUGUUGGUUGUCAUAGACAAUCGGUGCCGCAGCAAACGCAAUAAGUAAUCCACCUGGGGAGUACGUUCGCAAGAAUGAAACUCAAAUGAAUUGACGGGG
rnacentral:rRNA from 1 species